GACGAACGCUGGCGGCGUGCCUAAUACAUGCAAGUCGAGCGAACAGAGAAGGAGCUUGCUCCUUCGACGUUAGCGGCGGACGGGUGAGUAACACGUGGGCAACCUACCUUAUAGUUUGGGAUAACUCCGGGAAACCGGGGCUAAUACCGAAUAAUCUGUUUCACCUCAUGGUGAAACACUGAAAGACGGUUUCGGCUGUCGCUAUAGGAUGGGCCCGCGGCGCAUUAGCUAGUUGGUGAGCUAACGGCUCACCAAGGCGACGAUGCGUAGCCGACCUGAGAGGGUGAUCGGCCACACUGGGACUGAGACACGGACCAGUCUCCUACGGGAGGCAGCAGUAGGGAAUCUUCCACAAUGGUCGAAAGCCUGAUGGAGCAACGCCGCGUGAGUGAAGAAGGAUUUCGGUUCGUAAAACUCUGUUGUAAGGGAAGAACAAGUACAGUAGUAACUGGCUGUACCUUGACGGUACCUUAUUAGAAAGCCACGGCUAACUACGUGCCAGCAGCCGCCGUAA
rnacentral:rRNA from 1 species